UACGUAGGGCGCAAGCGUUGUCCGGAAUUAUUGGGCGUAAAGAGCUCGUAGGCGGUCUGUCGCGUCGGAUGUGAAAGCCCGGGGCUUAACCCCGGGUCUGCAUUCGAUACGGGCAGACUAGAGUGUGGUAGGGGAGAUCGGAAUUCCUGGUGUAGCGGUGAGAUGCGCAGAUAUCAGGAGGAACACCGGUGGCGAAGGCGGAUCUCUGGGCCAUUACUGACGCUGAGGAGCGAAAGCGUGGGGAGCGAACAGG
rnacentral:rRNA from 1 species